UACAGAGGGUGCAAGCGUUGUUCGGAAUUAUUGGGCGUAAAGAGCUCGUAGGCGGCCUGUUGCGUCCGCUGUGAAAGCCCGGGGCUUAACCCCGGGUCGGCAGUGGAUACGGGCAGGCUAGAGGUAGGUAGGGGAGAAUGGAAUUCCCGGUGUAGCGGUGAAAUGCGCAGAUAUCAGGAGGAACACCGAUGGCGAAGGCAGAUCUCUGGGCCGUAACUGACGCUGAGGAGCGAAAGCAUGGGGAGCGAACAGG
rnacentral:rRNA from 1 species